rnacentral:rRNA from 1 species
CUAGCAUAUCAAUAAGCGGAGGAAAAGAAACCAACAGGGAUUGCCCUAGUAACGGCGAGUGAAGCGGCAACAGCUCAAAUUUGAAAUCUGGCUCUUUCAGAGUCCGAGUUGUAAUUUGCAGAGGGCGCUUUGGCGUUGGCAGCGGUCCAAGUUCUUUGGAACAGGACGUCACAGAGGGUGAGAAUCCCGUACGUGGUCGCUAUCCUUCGCCGUGUAAAGCCCCUUCGACGAGUCGAGUUGUUUGGGAAUGCAGCUCUAAAUGGGAGGUAAAUUUCUUCUAAAGCUAAAUACUGGCCAGAGACCGAUAGCGCACAAGUAGAGUGAUCGAAAGAUGAAAAGCACUUUGGAAAGAGAGUCAAACAGCACGUGAAAUUGUUGAAAGGGAAGCGCUUGCAGCCAGACUUGCCUGUAGUUGCUUAUCCGGACUUUUGUCCGGUGCACUCUUCUAUAGGCAGGCCAGCAUCAGUUUGGGCGGUUAGAUAAAGGUCUCUGUCAUGUACCUCUCUUCGGAGAGGCCUUAUAGGGGAGACGACAUGUAACCAGCCUGGACUGAGGUCCGCGCAUCUGCUAGGAUGCUGGCGUAAUGGCUGUAAGCGGCCCGUCUUGAAACACGGACCAAGGAGUCUAACAUCUAUGCGAGUGUUUGGGUGUCAAGCCCAGACGCGUAAUGAAAGUGAACGGAGGUAAGAACCCUUUGGGUGCAUUAUCGACCGAUCCUGAUGUCUUCGGAAGGAUUUGAGUAAGAGCAUGGCUGUUGGGACCCGAAAGAUGGUGAACUAUGCUUGAAUAGGGUGAAGCCAGAGGAAACUCUGGUGGAGGCUCGCAGCGGUUCUGACGUGCAAAUCGAUCGUCAAAUUUGGGCAUAGGGGCGAAAGACUAAUCGACAUCAAUGCGAAA